ACAGCUCCGAGCAGUGGAUCACUCGGCUCGCGGGUCGAUGAAGAACGCAGCCAGCUGCGAGAUUUGGUGUGAAUUGCAGAACACUCAGAUCACUGAUUAUUCGAACGCACAUUGCGGCUCCCGCUCCUCUGCGGGAGCCUCGCCUGUCUGAGGGUCGCGUGAUGCAUGCAGAGGUUCUUUCCUCGGAAGGUGACCAAACGGCCCCUUCGGAUUCGUCCGUGGGCUCAGAGAACGAUCUCUCCCGGGGAUCGACCGCAAACGUACCCCGGGAGUAAGACAGAUAAAGGGAUAACUAUGAAAACGAGAAGCGACCUCAGAUCAGACGAGAGAACCCGCCGAACUUAAGCAUAUCAGUAAGCGGAGGAAAAGAAAACAACAGUGAUUCCCCCAGUAGCGGCGAGCGAAAAGGGAAGAGCCCAGCGCCGAAUCCCUGCGUCGAGAGGCGCACUCUGGGAAAUGUGGCGUAAGGAGUGCGCGCAGGUCCGCCGCAGGGUUCGAGGUAAGUCCCCUGACAGGGGCUUUUCCCGUGGCGGGUGCCAGGCCCGUGUCCUCGAACCCCUCGGCGGUGCCGGCGCCUCCGGAGAGUCGGGUUGCUCGGGAGUGCAGCCCCAAGGCGGGAGGUAGACUCCUCCAGGCUAAAUACGACCGCGAGACCGAUAGCAAACAAGUACCGUGAGGGAAAGUUGCAAAGAACUUUGAAGAGAGAGUUCAAGAGACGUGAAACUGCUCGGAGGGAAACGGGUGGGCCCUC